AGUGAACGCUGGCGGCAGGCCUAACACAUGCAAGUCGAACGAACUCUUCGGAAGUAGUGGCGGAUGGGUGUGUCACACGUGGGAACGUGCCUUUAGGCUCGGAAUACCUCUGGGAAACGGGUGCUAAUACCGAAUGAGUUCUUCGGGGGCAAGAUUUAUCGACUUUGGAGCGGCACGCGUCUGAUUAGCUAGUUGGGGUGGUAAAGGCUCACCAAGGCGACGAUCAGUAGCUGGUCUGAGAGGAUGAUCAGCCACAUUGGGACGGAGAUCCGGCCCAAACUCUUACGGGAGGCGGGAGAGGGGAAUCUUGCGAAAUCGGGGGAAGGCUGACGCAGCCAGGCCGCGUGAAUGAUGAAGGUCUGAGGAUUGUAAAGUUCUUUCACCGGGGACGAUAAUGACGGUACCCGGAGAAGAAGCCCCGGCUAACUUCGUG
rnacentral:rRNA from 1 species